CCGUUGCCGGCGACCGGCGCACGGGUGAGUAACGCGUAUGGUAACCUGCCCUAUGCAGGGGGAUAACCCGGAGAAAUCCGGCCUAAUACCGCGUAACACCUUUUGGGAGCAUUCCCGGGAGGUUAAAGGAGAGAUCCGGCAUAGGAUGGACAUGCGUCGCAUUAGGUAGACGGCGGGGUAACGGCCCACCGUGCCGACGAUGCGUAGGGGUUCUGAGAGGAAGGCCCCCCACACUGGUACUGAGACACGGACCAGACUCCUACGGAAGGCAGCAG
rnacentral:rRNA from 1 species